ACCAAUUAUGCUAAUAAAUUGGCACGUUAGCACGUUAUUGUAAUAUCCCAUAGUACAUACAUGUUAUUAAAACUUGAACUAAUGCAUUGUGAGUCUUAUAAAUUGCUUACAUACCUCACCGAUUUCCCACUGUCUGGAAAACGCUCGGUUUAGUUCCUGUCUCCGCCUCCCAAAAUGUCUAGUGUAAUCGGAUUGGUCAGAUGACUACUCAACUGUUAUUGGUCAGCUGGGUUCGGCGUGUGUUUGAAAGGUUACGCCCCUGACUACGCGUGGGUUGACACAGAUUCUGACUGAGAGUCACAGCCUCAGAGGCAUCGUAAACAAGCGUUAUAUUUCUCUAUAAACGAUGGUGUCUGUACUGCCUUACCACUUCGAGCUCGAUCCAGAGAGUUCAGAAGGCCGUUACGAUAUAAACGAUCUCCGUCAAUGAAUGCGAUUGGAUUUAACUUUUUUAGGUGUCCUUAGCUCUGCCAGAAUGCUAAACGAAGACGAAAAUGUGUUGCAAAGACAUCCAAAAGGUUUUAAGGAGAAUGCAACAGGUUCCAGGGCCUCUUACCUGCGUGAUUCAUCAUCCAGGUUUUGCACAAAUUGUCUAAAUCCCUACACACAGAACAUUUAUUGUACCGACUAUAAGCCUUUGAGGUGCAGGACUAGAAUACGCUUGGAGCUUCCUGAUCGGAAUGUUGGCUUCCGACGACCCCUGCACUCAAGAUGGCAUGCAAUCACGUCCUCCUUUGAAGGUCUCUCAAACUGUGAUGCCAGGUCCAUUGGAAUCGGGGUUUCCUUCAGC